rnacentral:rRNA from 1 species
GGGUCAGUAGGUUGGUCGUGCCACCGGUACGUACUGGUCUCACUGAUUCCUCCUUCCUGAAGAACCGUAAUGCCAUUAAUUUGGUGUUGCGGGGAAACAGGACUGUUACUUUGAAAAAAUUAGAGUGUUUAAAGCAAGCUGACGCUUGAAUACAUUAGCAUAGAAUAAUGAAAUAGGACGAUCGAUCCUAUUUUGUUGGUUUCUAGGAUUGACGUA